GUUCACUUUGGCAGCACAUACAUUAAAUCUGGAAUGAUACAGAGAAGAUUAGCAUGGUCCCUGUACAAAGAUGAUAUGCAAAUUCAUGAAGCAUUCCAUAAUUUU
ensembl:snRNA U6 U6 spliceosomal RNA